GAUGAACGCUGGCGGCGUGCCUAAUACAUGCAAGUCGAGCGAACAGACGAGGAGCUUGCUCCUCUGACGUUAGCGGCGGACGGGUGAGUAACACGUGGAUAACCUACCUAUAAGACUGGGAUAACUUCGGGAAACCGGAGCUAAUACCGGAUAAUAUAUUGAACCGCAUGGUUCAAUAGUGAAAGACGGUUUUGCUGUCACUUAUAGAUGGAUCCGCGCCGCAUUAGCUAGUUGGUAAGGUAACGGCUUACCAAGGCAACGAUGCGUAGCCGACCUGAGAGGGUGAUCGGCCACACUGGAACUGAGACACGGUCCAGACUCCUACGGGAGGCAGCAGUAGGGAAUCGUCCGCAAUGGGCGAAAGACUGACGGAGCAACGCCGCGUGAGUGAUGAAGGUCUUCGGAUCGUAAAACGCUGUUAUUAGGGAAGAACAAAUGUGUAAGUAACUAUGCACGUCUUGACGGUACCUAAUCAGAAAGCCACGGCUAACUACGUG
rnacentral:rRNA from 1 species